rnacentral:rRNA from 1 species
GACGAACGCUGGCGGCGUGCCUAAUACAUGCAAGUAGAACGCACAGUUUAUACCGUAGCUUGCUACACCAUAAACUGUGAGUUGCGAACGGGUGAGUAACGCGUAGGUAACCUGCCUGGUAGCGGGGGAUAACUAUUGGAAACGAUAGCUAAUACCGCAUAAUAUUAAUUAUUGCAUGAUAAUUGAUUGAAAGAUGCAAUUGCAUCACUACCAGAUGGAACUGCGUUGUAUUAGCUAGUAGGUGAGGUAACGGCUCACCUAGGCGACGAUACAUAGCCGACCUGAGAGGGUGAUCGGCCACACUGGGACUGAGACACGGCCCAGACUCCUACGGGAGGCAGCAGUAGGGAAUCUUCGGCAAUGGACGAAAGUCUGACCGAGCAACGCCGCGUGAGUGAAGAAGGUUUUCGGAUCGUAAAGCUCUGUUGUAAGAGAAGAACGGGUGUGAGAGUGGAAAGUUCACACUGUGACGGUAUCUUACCAGAAAGGGACGGCUAACUACGUG